CUGCAAAACCCAAACACCAUCAAUCUCCUGAUUUUUCAAAAUGUAACCUUUUAGCUAAAAUGGAAAAGGAGGAAUGGAGAAGGCAGAGGACUGAGGUCUAUUUUCAGAGAGCCAUGUGGGAGUCUCAGCAGAGGAAAGGCCCAUGACCUCUCUCCCUACAGCAGAAACUGUCACUGGAUGUUGCCUGUAAAGGAAUCAAAUUAAGAGUGAGUGUAGAAAUAGAAAACGAAUGGUCAAGUCUCUGGUUGCUGUUGCCUUUUCAAAGACACUCCCAGUUCUGGCUAUCCGACAGUUGAAAAGGCUUCUCCUAACCAUGUGGUUAGCAUACUGGAACCAGUCAUAGAAUGUCUACAUGUGCUUAAGUCUCAGCAAGGCACUUCCAUCACCAAUUAUCGUGACUCGACCUGAAGCAGGUACCACUGUCUCUCCCAUGUGGGGAGAUGCCAUCAUGGAUCCUUAGCACGUGCAUCAGUCCCUGUUGCAGAGGGAGACAGGUCCCCUUCCUGCCCAGUACAAGGAAGAAGAGUUACUGGAGAGAAGCCUAUUCUCCAUUCCCAUGCCUCCAGCCAAAAGCAGCUGCUGCUCACACUCUGCUGCCUUCAUGGUCACUCUCCUGGUUACAAUUCCAUCCCAACUGCUUGAUAUUUUUAAAAAGGAAAAGAUGGAGGCUGCCAAAUCUGGAUUUGUGUGGUUACUAAGGGUAGUUUGAGGCAAGACUCGGCCUGUUUAAAGAAAUGGGAGACAUUCUCCCUUUUCACCAUGAGCUAGAUAGGUCUUUGAUCCCCAUGAGGUCUCCAUAAGAUCCCAUAGAAUGCAAAACUGAAGUUCUUUUUGUGGUGGCCAAGAACUGAAAAUUGAGGGGAUGCCCAUCAAUUGGGGAAUGGCUGAGCAAGAUGUGGCAUAUGAAUGUAAUGGAAUACCAUUGUGGCUAUAAGAAAUGAUAAGCAGGAUGCUUUCAGAAAAAUCUGGACUUAACAUGAAUUGAUGCUGAGUGAAGUGAACAGAACCAGGAGAACAUUGUACACAGUAACGGCAACAUUGUGUGAUGACCAACUUGAAUAGACUUAACUCUUCUCAGCAAUACAAGGAUCUAAGACAAUUCCAAAAGACCCAUGAUGGAAAAUGCUCUCCACAACCAGAGAAAGAACUAUGGUGUUUGAAUGCAGAUGAAAGCAUGCUAUUUUUUUUUUUGCUUCUUUCUCAUGGUUUUUCCCUUUGGUUCUUCUUUACAACAUGACUAAUGUGGAAAUAUAUUUAAUAUGAUUGUACAUGUAUAGCCUAUAUCAGAUUGCAUGCCGUCUUUGGGAGGGAGAGAAAAUUUAAAACUCAAAAUCUUUUAGAAGUGAAUGUUGAAAACUAAAAACAAAUAAAUAAAAUUUGAAAAAAGAAUGCA
rnacentral:lncRNA from 1 species